UGCGUAGGCAGCGAGCGUUGUUCGGAGUUACUGGGCGUAAAGGGUGUGUAGGCGGUUGUUUAAGUUUGGUGUGAAAUCUCCCGGCUCAACUGGGAGGGUGCGCCGAAUACUGAAUGACUUGGAGUGCGGGAGAGGAAAGUGGAAUUCCUGGUGUAGCGGUGAGAUGCGUAGAUAUCAGGAGGAACACCGGUGGUGUAGACGGCUUUCUGGACCGUAACUGACGCUGAGACACGAAAGUGUGGGGAUCAAACAGG
rnacentral:rRNA from 1 species